CACAAAUCCAAACCCUGAGGAAAGAAAGAGUCCAGACACUCAGACCACAGUUUACAUUUGGAUUUCCACUUCAGCCAUCAUUAUAAACAAUGUCUAAGGUUCAUGUACUUCAGUUCAACUUCAGUGCUGCUCUGGUCUCCUGUCUGUCUCUCCAUGUGUCUCCUCUCCUCCACCUCUCCACUGGGUUAAAAGGCUGCGGUAAAGCCAUGCAAGCUGUCAUAAUCGAUGUGCUGCCGAACCGAGUACAGGAUGGAGGGCCAUGGAGAGGAGACGGAGACAGAUUGGACCAGGUUUAGGAAGAAAGGAGCAAAUGGAAGAACGGCUGCCAUUGACGCACAUAGUUAUUUCAUGAAAUAAGGAGAAAGGGAGCUUUACCUCUGU